AAGUUACAACGCGUUUUGUCGGGCAGUGCACAGGCGUGCGCCUGCCGUUUCUGAAGCGGCGCGCAGGUAGAAGGGUCGGACCCUCAUGCAACGGUUUCUUUUGUCCCUUUACAAUAAAACUUACUUUUGAGAUUGAAGUAUAGGUAUUUUCUAAUAGAUGAUGACGCUGUAAGCAGUGCUCUAAGCUGUUUUCAAGCCGAUUAUUCAUUUAGUUGGCGUCGGUUGCGUGAUACGGACGAUUCUCGUUGUUUGUGGAGUACAUGUCACGAUGAAAUAGGUGUAAAAGUUCUCGAGGGUCACAGGGAGUGAGCAAAUUUCGAAAAAGUUUUACGCGCAAGCGAAAAAUGCCGCCCAAUAGGUGGCAAACGGUGUAUCCAAGCGGACGUGCGAGCACAGCAUGCGAUGCGGGAGGCCCGAAUAAGCCGUCGCCUCGCUAAAAACCAACAAAUGGAGGCAAACCUUGUGCAGGAGGAUUCCCUGUAUGGCCCAGGAAUUGACGAUGACGUAUGAACGGGCACGGAGAUAUUAUUGUAACCGCGGAAUGACGAAUCGCGUGCACGGUUAACUACACGACGGUGGAAGGGGGGGAUUUUGUAACACUAUUAUUUCAAUAAAAUUUGUAUAAGAAGU